rnacentral:rRNA from 1 species
GACGAACGCUGGCGGCGUGCUUAACACAUGCAAGUCGAACGAAGUGGCGAACGGGUGAGUAACGCGUAAUCAACCUGCCCUUCAGAGGGGGACAACAGUUGGAAACGACUGCUAAUACCGCAUACGGAAGGAGGGGAUUGCGUGGGAUUAGCUAGUUGGAGGGGUAACGGCCCACCAAGGCGAUGAUCAGUAGCCUGUCUUGAGGGGAGGACGGCCAAAUUGGGACUGGGACACGGGCCAGACUCCUUCGGGAGGGAGCAGUGGGGAAUCUUCCGCAAUGGGGGAAAGUCUGACGGAGCAACGCCGCGUGAGUGAUGGCAGCCUUCGGGUUGUAAAGCUCUGUUAAUCGGGACGCGGUACCGGAAUAGAAAGCCACGGCUAACUACGUGCCAGCAGCCGCGGUAAUAC